AUUGAACGCUGGCGGCAUGCCUUACACAUGCAAGUCGAACGGCAGCACGGGUGCUUGCACCUGGUGGCGAGUGGCGAACGGGUGAGUAAUACAUCGGAACGUACCUUAUCGUGGGGGAUGACGCAGCGAAAGCUGUGCUAAUACCGCAUACGCCCUGAGGGGGAAAGCGGGGGAUCGCAAGACCUCGCGCGAUUAGAGCGGCCGAUGCCUGAUUAGCUUGUUGGUGGGGUAAAGGCUCACCAAGGCGACGAUCUGUAGCGGGUCUGAGAGGAUGAUCCGCCACACUGGGACUGAGACACGGCCCAGACUCCUACGGGAGGCAGCAGUGGGGAAUUUUGGACAAUGGGGGCAACCCUGAUCCAGCCAUGCCGCGUGAGUGAAGAAGGCCUUCGGGUUGUAAACUGCUUUUGUACGGAGCGAAAAGGCUCUCUCUAAUACAGGGGGCUCAUGACGGUACCGUAAGAAUAAGCACCGGCUAACUACGUGCCAGCCGCCGCAGUAA
rnacentral:rRNA from 1 species